rnacentral:lncRNA from 1 species
AAAGAUUAUCUCUUUUUCUUUUCUUGCAAAUGGAGCUCAGAUAUGUUAUGAUAAGGCAAAGAGAAGCCAACUAUGCCAUGGCUGCAAAACACCAGUUGCAAGUAAGAGACAGAAAUCUCAAUCACAGGCCAUACAGGGUUGCCACGCCAAGAAAAGGGUUGGGUCAUCUCUAUGCCCAAAUCGGUUAGCCCAGAUACAAGAAACAUCAUCAUCACUGCCUCUUUAUGUAACUUCCAUCAGCAACAUAA